rnacentral:rRNA from 1 species
GGGGAAUAUUGCACAAUGGGCGAAAGCCUGAUGCAGCAACGCCGCGUGAGUGAAGAAGGUUUUCGGAUUGUAAAGCUCUGUCAUCUGGGACGAUAAUGACGGUACCAGAUGAGGAAGCCACGGCUAACUACGUGCCAGCAGCCGCGGUAAUACGUAGGUGGCAAGCGUUGUCCGGAAUUACUGGGCGUAAAGGGUGCGCAGGCGGAUAUUUAAGUGGGAUGUGAAAUACUCGGGCUUAACCUGGGUGCUGCAUUCAAACUGGAUAUCUAGAGUGCAGGAGAGGAAAGUAGAAUUCCUAGUGUAGCGGUGAAAUGCGUAGAGAUUAGGAAGAAUACCAGUGGCGAAGGCGACUUUCUGGACUGUAACUGACACUGAGGCUCGAAAGCGUGGGGAGCAAAC